GACGAACGCUGGCGGCGUGCUUAACACAUGCAAGUCGAACGGAAAGGCUCUGCUUUUGUGGGGUGCUCGCGUGGCGAACGGGUGAGUAACACGUGAGUAACCUGCCCUUGACUUUGGGAUAACUUCACGACACUGGGGCUAAUAACGGAUAGGAGCCCCUGCUGCAUGGUGGGGGUUGGAAAGUUUCGGCGGUCGGGGAUGGACUCGCGGCUUAUCAGCUUGUUGGUGGGGUAGUGGCUUACCAAGGCUUUGAUGGGUAGCCGGCCUGAGAGGGUGACCGGCCACAUUGGGACUGAGAUACGGCCCAGACUCCUACGGGGGGCAGCAGUGGGGAAUAUUGCACAAUGGGCGGAAGCCUGAUGCAGCAACGCCGCGUGCGGGAUGACGGCCUUCGGGUUGUAAACCGCUUUCGCCUGUGACGAAGCGUGAGUGACGGUAAUGUGUAAAGAAGCACCGGCUAACUACGUG
rnacentral:rRNA from 1 species